GUCUCAGCUCGAGCAUUCCUAGCGCCAACACGCCCUCAGGUAAAGGUGGAAGUAAAUGGCCACGCUGUAUUGACAGAGCAGGUAGAUGAAACUCAAGAGAAAAGGUGUGGAUAAAUGAAACUAGCCCAUGAUGAACCUGUUUUCUCCGUGACCACAAUAUUAACCAGGAUGAAUGGCGGUGGCAGUGGGCCUGCAUCACAGGUUGCAGCAGAUGUUCUCAAUAUUUCUAUUAAAAUUUCCUUAUUUCCAUAUGCAAGAGGAGCCCCAGAGCUGCAUCCUUAUGGUAGCUACCAUGCCGUGAUGUAAGCUGCCAUUCACUGGGGAGCUUUGGCAAUAGAAUUGGCUAGAUCAGGAAGCCUAUGUCAACUAUGGAACAACAACUUGCAGCUCAUCUCUAUUGAUGAUACACUGCCUCUAGGACUGGGACAGAUAGCCACUGAGUACCUGCUUCAAAUCACCCUGCACGUUUUCUCUUUGGAAAGAUAAGCACUGGAGAACCAUCUCGUUACCUUCAGCAGAAAUGGAAACAAAUCAAGACAUUAAGAAUGCCGCAGUGGACAGCAGUUAUGCAAGGUUCAGCAGAGGAAGUUUUCAAGAUGGUGUGCCUCACUAGCCAGAAAUCAGAAAAGAUCGAAGCUAGCCUUUUCAUCUCAGCUGCUCCUUAAAUCAGUGCAACCCCUCCAAAUUAAUGUGAAUUGAAACUUGCAUUGCUUUUCAACUUAAUUGAAUACUUACUAUAUGUGAACCACUGCACAAAAUAGGGGAAGAAGAUGUGGGAGACAAAGAUGUGGAGCCUGUCUUCAAUAAAUUUACAGUUAGUUUCAGGGUACAUUGUUUUUCUUCUGCUGUUAAUUAGGUGUAUCCCCAAGACAAUAAAUACAUGAAUGGAAAAGUAUAUUCUGUGUUUUAAGUCUCUUUAAUAAAAAACAAAACAAAAUCCAAAAAAACUCCUAACAUGGCAACUCAGGACAUUUUAAUCCUUUUUUUUGUUGUUGGGCUUCUGAUAGGAUCCAUUUUAUUGAUUCCAUAAAUAUUUAGUAGACUUUAGACAUAUUAAUACAUUGUAGUUUGAGUUAAUUUGCAUUAAAUUCUGUUUUUUUCCCCUUAGGUAUAGAUUGUCUGUUGGAAAAAUAUAUUGCUUGUGGAUUUCUUGGGGAGUGGGAAGGUGAAUUAUACCUGUUGUCUCUACAGUCCACUACCUUCCACACCCUAGGGCAGUGGUCCCCAACCUUCUUGGCACCAGGGAUCAGUUUCCUGGAAGACAAUUUUUCUGUGGAUGGUGUGGGGAUGGUUUUGGGAUGGAACUGUUCCACCUCAGAUCAUCAGGCAUUAGUUAGGCUCUCAUAACGAGUGCGCAGCCUAGAUCCCUCACAUGCACAGUUCACAGUAGGGUUUGCGCUGCUAUGAGAAUCUAAGGCUGCCACUGAUCUGACAGGAGGCAGAACUCAGGUGGCAAUGCUUACUGGCCCACUGCUCACCUCUUGCUGUGCGGCCUGGUUCCUAAUAGGCCAUGGACCCCCACAGACGGGUACUAGUCUGCAGCCUGUGGACCCCAGCCCUAGGGGCCUGCCAUUCUGAGUGAGUUAUUAGCAUGAAGAAGAGGAAGAUCUGGAUCAAACGUGGGUGAUGGUACUCAGAGACCCAAGAUAGGAUAGGGAUGGAACAAAAUCCAUCUGGGCAACGGCUCUAUGAAAAUUUGGCUAAGUAAUUAUUUCAGUAUUCAUUGUAUUCAUUGUCCUUCGUGUUCCAUAAGUUAAAUGACUGUCUAAUUUUUCCAAAAAUUUAUUUCUGACUUGAGAAUAAGUGUGUCAUGAUUUUCCCAGUGUAAAGACACUGAUAUAACUGUAGA
rnacentral:lncRNA from 1 species